rnacentral:rRNA from 1 species
CAAUAAUAUAUAAAGAGUCAGGCCUGCCCAGUGAUAGACAAUUUAACGGCCGCGGUACUCUGACCGUGCAAAGGUAGCAUAAUCAUUUGCCUUAUAAUUGAAGGCUUGCAUGAACGGUUUAACAAGAGCAACGCUGUCUCCUUUAAAAUUUAUAUAAUUUGGUUUUUAGGUGAAGAAACCUAAAUAUGAUUGAAAGACAAGAAGACCCUAUCGAGCUUUAAAACAAUUUAUUAAACUUUUCAAAAAUAAAUAAAAUUAAUAAAAAAUUUUGGUUGGGGCGACUAAGGAACAUAUAAAGCUUCCUUUAAUUCUAUAUAAAUUUGUAAAUAAUGAUCCAAAAGCUUUGAUUAAAAAAAUUAGUUACCGUAGGGAUAACAGCAUAAUCCUCUUCAAGAGUUCUAAUCGAAAGGGGGGUUUGUGACCUCGAUGUUGGACUAGAAUAUCCUGAAAGUGCAGAAGUCUUCAAGGGUUGGUCUGUUCGACCA